rnacentral:lncRNA from 1 species
UCUUUACUUCUCAGUUAUUCUCAAAAGUUGAUCAGUCUCUUUCUUAUUGUUUCCUCUCUGUGCAGGAGACAGAUGGCAGGUGUUUCACAAUUACAAGUCACUGUGUGCUACUUCCACGGCUGUAAAGUUGAAAGAGUGACUUCAGCUCCCAUUCAUUCUCAGCUUGUUUGUUGUUUCGGCUUAAAUGUCUGCAGACCAGAAUCAAUGAAAUUAAAGGAGCAAAAGCACUGGGAAAUAACUAUUCAGCAUCCACACAGUUAUCAAAAGAAAUAUUCAAGGUUCUAUCCUGGGAGUACUAUUUCUAGUACUUCUAUCCUCUAGGGGGAAUUUCAGCUCAUUGCUUUUCCAGUUGAGGUGUGGAUGAAUAUGCCUGCAGAUCUCCACAAUGUAGACGUCCAUUGUUUCUGAGGAUUCUGUGGAAACUUCCAUUUCUCACCAUCUCCCAGAUGGAGAAACUGUUAGUCCAUAGGCUCCCAACUAAAUUCAGCAAGACUUGUAGCUGUCAAACCAUGGAGUAGAAUAUCAAAUUGAUUAUGUUUGGAUUAUGGACUCUGAUUUCACCAGUAAUAGCAAGGGGACUUUGUAUAAACUGUGUAAAACUUCUCAGCUUCAAGGAACUUCUCCUAUAAAAAGGGCUGUUAGUAGUUCAUAAGGUUCAGAGGAGGGGAAGAGAAUAAUAUAAUUAAAAGUCCCUGUCUAUUAAAAGAGAAGUAAGUGGUCAAAACCACAAAUGCCCCCUUUUUGGCUCUCACUUUUCCCUUUAAACUGUCAGCCUGGUGUAUGUAUUGCAAGCAUUUGCCAUUCACUUCCCACUUUUUCUCUUUCUGGCUUCUACUUUCUCUUUCUGCUUUCUGCUUUCAUUGUGGUUUCUGGGGAUCUACUCAUCCAAAAGUUGCUAAUCUAUUAGUGAUUUCACAUCCACGAAGUUACUCACAGGAAAGUCUUUCUAAGAUAGUAAUUGCCCACAAUCGUAGAAUCCUGAUAACCACAACAGUUUAUCCCUGAAAUUAUUUUUCUAGAUAUAUAGUUAGCAUGUUUCCAUAAAAUUGGUAACAUUCCUGGAUAUCAGUAGCAUUCAAAAAGUGAUUCUGUUGAUCUCUCUAAUUUUAGCAAAGAGGGUAUAGCAGGUAAGAGAAUCGGUUUGUCCCUCAGACAUUUCUAUUCUAAGAAAUGCAACUGAAUUUUAAAGCAAUGAACAUCACCACCCUCUUCAUAUUUGUCACGUUUCUUUAUGGAUUUGGAAACUUGUCCUAACUGCCGCCUUGGAUGUUGUUUGAGGAAUUACAGGAGGAUAUUGCAAACCAUUUAUAGUCAUAAUAAC